UACGUAGGGCGCAAGCGUUAUCCGGAAUUAUUGGGCGUAAAGAGCUCGUAGGCGGUUUGUCGCGUCGGGAGUGAAAACUCAGGGCUCAACCCUGAGCGUGCUUCCGAUACGGGCAGACUAGAGGUAUGCAGGGGGAGAACGGAAUUCCUGGUGUAGCGGUGGGAAUGCGCAGAGUAUCAGGAGGAACACCGGUGGCGAAGGCGGUUCUCUGGGCAUUACCUGACGCUGAGGAGCGAAAGCAUGGGGGAGCGAACAGG
rnacentral:rRNA from 1 species